rnacentral:rRNA from 1 species
CCAGCAGCCGCGGUAAUUCCAGCUCCAAUAGCGUAUAUUAAAGUUGUUGCAGUUAAAAAGCUCGUAGUUGAAUUUCUGGAUCCACCGGUCGCCGGCCUCUGGCCGUGCUUCCCGCGGGUUCAUCCUCGCCCCUCGGGGCGUCAUUUACUGUGAAAAAAUUAGAGUGUUUAAAGCAGGCUUAGGCUUGAAUACAUUAGCAUGGAAUAAUAAGAUAGGACCGAGUCGUAUUUUGUUGGUUGCGCGAAACGGUAAUGAUUAAUAGGGACAGUUGGGGGUAUUCAUAUUUAAUUGUCAGAGGUGAAAUUCUAAGAUUUGUUAAAGAUGAACUACUGCGAAAGCAUUUACCAAGGAUGUUUUCAUUAAUCAAGAAC